GCUGGGCGUGAUGGCGCACGCCUGUAGUCCCAGCUACCAGGGAGGCUGAGGCUGGAGGAUCACUUAGUCCAGGAGUUCCGGGCUCCAGUGAGCUAUGCCGAUUGGUUGUCCGCAAUUAGUUUGGCAUCAGUAUGGUGACCUCCUUGGAGCGGGGGACCACCAGGCUGCCUAAGGAGGGGUGAACCGGCCCAGGUCAGAAACGGAGCAGGUCAAAACUACGGUGCUGAUCAGUAGUGGGAUUGCACAUGUGAAUAGCCACUGCACUCCAGUCUGGGCAACACAGUGAGACCCUGUCUCU
rnacentral:SRP_RNA from 1 species